GAGAUUAAAAAACAGAAGUGUUUGUGCUGGCUGGGAGGGCUCGCCUGCCAUUUGUCAGCGUCUAUGGGAGCUGGGGCUCACUUGUGAAAAUUCCCUACAAACAAAUGCUUCACUGAUGAAAAAUAUGAGGUGCCUGUGCCUUCUUCCCUUCCUGUUGAAGGAUUACUGGAGCUUUUUUGCUUUUUAUAUUUCAUCUAUGGUAUUGAGGCUUUAGUGUGCUUCUUGAGGGUUGACUUUGGCCUUUAAAAUUCUAAAAACUUGUUUGUUAUUACCAAGUAACAAUAGCUUCUUCUGUGCUUAAACUUAUAGGAACAAGGAAUUCCCUGGUUGUGUUUCCAGCUGCUGGGCUUGGAACAGGAAGUGCCUGUAACACUGGCACUGCUGUACUUGGUACACUCAGAUCUAAACUUCUAUGAAGCAGCAAAAGCAGAGAAUGAGGUGCUUUGUUAUGGGUAAUCCUAAAUCACCCUGGGUGGAAAGUUGUGGAAUAUCAUGUACCACACAUCAUAUAUCCCAAUUUUUCUAUGUACAAAAGACAGAGCGCACUUUGUUUGCUUUCCCUGAUGGGGAAUUACAACUUUGGGGUUUUGAUAACUCCCAGUUUGUCUGCCAGGAAACCUCUAAAGUUUUCUUGAUGUAACUUUAUAAAGUUUUUUAGUUUCUUACCGCUGACCCCAAAUAUCAAUGAUUCCCAGGUGCCCUCUUACUGGGGCAAAGAAGCUGUUGCCUCUCAUGUGGUAGUACAGAGUGGAUCCUGCCUGGAGGACCAAGAGAACUGACCUCAGAACUGUCCCUUCAUCUCCUUUGCUAUGGAAGCAAACAACAAGCAUCAGAAGUAAAGACCAGACACCAACAUGUUUCAUGGAAUGGUCCAGUCCUCCUAGGCACUGUACACACUGUUCUCAUUACUUUGAGGGAGGACACAGAUACUAUAAACGUCAAACAUCGUUUCUCAGAGGACUUCUGAACUUCACCAUAAACACACGAGUUUUCUGGUCUAUGCAGUAUCCCUACCGACUUCUAAACUUAUCUGAAAGAAAGCAAGGAAGCUGAAGAAGAAAAUAGAACUUUUGGAGCUGCUCUGCCCAGACUGUUGUUGUAGAGACCAACAAACAAAGGACAUCCAGUGCCUGUGAAAAUUGAGCACGUGUCCCUGGGAGCAGAGGAGUAAUAGAGCAUCACAAAAAUAGGUGAGUGUUGUGUGGGAGAAUGACAUGAGGUGGGUUUUGUACUUUUGUGCUUUUAACAGCAAGGAUAGCCUCUUUGGGUCGUUAAAGGAGUGCAUUUGUGAGGGUACACAGAAAAGUCACUUGUCUCUCUGAAUUCUUUAGUCAAUAGUUUAACUGUGGGCUUGACUCACAAAGGCCUGAUUUGGUGACAGAUGGGCAGGAAACUGAUUUUUGUUAUUUAUGUUUGCCAUGUUGUUAUUACUUAUGUAUAUGCUUACAUAUUUAAUGCUGUAAGCAUUAAGUAAAGCUACAAAAUACUUAAGCUGGAAAUAAACCAGGCUAAAGCUGUAACUUCACAAAUCCAACAGAUACCAUUGUAAAUUUUCAACGAAUACGUUUGCAAUACUGGCAGUCCUGAUUGCAAUGUGUACUGUUUAAGUGAAAAAAAAACUACAAAACUUGUUUUCUUUGUAAUGACUUCCACACCCUCUAGUGACAUGUACAAGUGUUUAUAGAUUCUUGAAAAAGUGCUGAGUUAUUUCAACUGGGAUAAUAGGAUUAGGUAAGGUAGUCUGAGUUCCCAGCGAUCCACAUGUCAAAAUGCGAGGCUUUGUUUGUCUUCCUAUUGGUUAACAGGCUCCAACUGAGGUGCUGGUUCAGGAAAUGUUUGCUUAGACACCACCUGCACGCUGGAGUGGAGUCAACUGUUGAUUAAGCAGUCUGCUAGCAACUUGGACAGAAAGCAAGGUGCUGAUGAGGGCUGUGGAUCAAAGCCAAGUGUUGGGGAUAGCAAACUUAAUCAAUGAGCUGACAGUUUGUGAAAGUUGAGUAGUGCUCUUCUGUGUGCCUUUUGGAUAAAGCUGGGGAAGAGAUUUGGUCUUUGGCAGCUGGUUAAGCAAACUUAAUUAAACUUUACUGAAAUAGGUGUCUAAAAAGCUGGAAAUCACAACCUGGAAGAAGAAAUUUUGCUGGAGGUUGCUUUUACUGGAGUGAUGACUGGCUUUAUGCAGUGCCUUAGAGGAGAGGAUCUCUGCAUAGUAAUGGGUGAUGAAGUUGUUAUUUCUUGGAUACGAAUGCCAUUUUCAGUGACAGAGAGAUGCUAUUAAUGACCAGCUGUCUAAGUACCUACUCACUAUUAAAUAUUUUUCAGUCCAGUUCCCUGUGAAAUUUCUGUGAAAAAAGCCCUUUGCCUUCCUCAGCAGCCCACCUUCUGUGUCAGUCUUGACAAGGAGCUGGAGACUGAAUUGCAUGUUUGCCCCGUAGGUGUCACCGGAGGACUAAGCAUCUGAUGUGCUUCCUGAGACCUACCUUCAGUUAAAACUAUUAUGUAAGUUACUGACUGCUUUUUUUUAAUGGUUAAUAUUUGCAUAAUGUAGUGAAGUCCAUCUGAGUUCAUCUUCUGUGGCCUUUGUCCUGCUUCUUACCCAGCAGUGACACCUACUACUCAGUUCUUGUUGCGAUAAAUGGGGAACAGAGUACCAGUUAGUCCAUAUUUGGAUGAGUAAUCUUCUUAUGCAAUAGUAAGAUUCAGUAAUACUGUGCAAGCUCUGUAUCCCUAACACAAGACCAAGUUCCAGAUACCACAGAGAUCAGCUAUGAAGAGAUAUUUAUCUAACUAUAGGCAAUUCUUAAAGAAUCUUAUGUAGUUUUUGCAGUCUUGGACUUAUUUUUAGAUGCUGGAUGACUAAAUCUGUGGGAUGUGGCACGAAAGGUGCCAUAAUGUAACUGAACUAGAAGGCAGAUUUUUAAAUCUCGUUUUCAGAAACAGCUAAGCAAUGCCCAUAGAGGUAGUUCAAAUGCCUAAAAAGUGCAGGUAAGCAUUGUGUAGGUUUUUGAAAAAUGGGUGUGUGCUACAAAACAGGGAUGCCAAAUGCCUGUAGAAGCCUCAUGUCUCUGCUGGCUUUCCAAAUCAGAUAUAAGCCUAAUUUAGGGAUGAAUUUUCCCAUAGGCAACAGGCUACUUCUAGUUCAACGCUACAGCACUUUCAGGAAAGCUGCCAAGGAAAAUCCUAAAUACCUCCCCCAAUUUUCUUGGCUGCUCACAUUUGAAAAUGGAGCUUUGGUCCCCAGAUCAAGGAUGUAUUUUCAUUAAAUUUUAAUAAAGCUUUAUUAUUGUAGAACUGAUGGCUGACUUAUAUUCCUUAUUGGAAAAAAAAAUAUUAAAUGCCUAUGGACAAGACAGUAUAUGUAGUAUAUGGUAAUGAGAUUAAUUAGUGUCUGUACUUUUCCACAAAUGAACAUUCUACAUGCUUAGUGCUUAUUUAGUUGUCCUUAAAAUAGUUUUUUUGUAGAAACUGCACUCGAAGUGUGACAGAACUUCCUUUUUGUUUCAAAUUCUUUUUUUUUUUUUUGAAUGUACACAUUAUUAGAUCCUAUAUUAAACUGUUGCAAACUGAGACAUGGACUUCAAGAUAUCAUCAAAUGCUAAAUGGAAGAUUGAACUUAUUGCUGUUCUCAUUAAUAACUUUCAUUACAGUGGAAGAAGAUCAAACUUAUCAAGAAACUAAAAAUUAUGUUCCUCACUUAUCUACAGCAUAUAUUUCCUUCCCAAAAAUCAAAUUCCUCUUCUAACAGGUUCUUGAUAUGAUCUGUUUAAAUUCCAAAUCAAGUCUUCAAGAACAGCCUAUGAAAAUGGGUAUCCAAAUCCUGAUUUCAAACAUGGCAGCAAAAGCCCGUGAUUUUAAAGGUACAGCUGGAGAGUCUAUAUGAGGUGUAAAAAUCAGUCUGUUAAACAAAUCUGAAAACUGCUAACAUCCAUAGCACUGUCUUAUUCAAUGGCAUAUGGUACAAAAAGUCUUAAAAGUGAAUGUUCUCUGUUCUGCUUUCCUUAGAACUAUUAAAGAGAAAAGAAUGCAAUUAUCUUUGAUUCAGGCAAUUCAUAUCUGGAUUUAGAUAAUGCUUUUUCUGACACCUUUCUUUACUCAUCAUUAAUAUACUCCAGCUGUAGAUGGAGUUCCAUCUGGUAAAAAAUUCUUACUUUCAAUGAUUUAAAUGUCUGAUAGUGUACUGCUGGACAGAACCAGGGCCUACAUAAUGAUUCUUCCCAUUGUAUUUCUGCUUUAUUCUCAUCACAGAAUACAAAAUAGCAUAACAGAUGGCAAGGAGGUUAAGAUCAGAAGGGGACAUAGUGAUCAUUAGCUGAGUUACUGGGUAAUACAAGCCUCAUUGUUACAGUAAAUUUUAAAUUCCGGUGUUGCUACUACAUUUCUGCCUGUAUGUUUUACUAACUAGCUGAAUGCUAGAGAGAGGACAGCAAUACUGACCAGACUAAUGUGGCCUUAAAAGAAAACCCUACAGCCAAGUGCUUUCCAACAUUCAAUCUCAUGUCACAGUGAGAUUUGCCUUGUCUACAGAGAAUAGAUUUUAGCUCUGAGCACCAUAUGAAGGCUGAAAGGACUCAGCCCACUCGUUUGCAGGUUGCUGCACCCCUACCAAGCUAAAAUAGUCUGAACUGCAACUCUGCCACAGGGUCAGUAAAAAAUUUCACUUAUUUACAGCAUUUCAGCUAUCGAGUCUAUGUAGAUAUAACACUGUCUAAUAGAAUAAAUCAAAGCAGUACUGUGGAUUAUUUUUCCUCUCUUGUACUAAAAAGAAAUAUCAUUUGUGAUUAAUUUGAAUGCAAAGAUUGUACUACUAAAUCCAGUGUCAAAAAAAUCCACGUUUUUUCUCCAAGAACUUGUCUAUACUGAAGUUUAGAGAAAUCAUAGGCCUAAAGCCAGUAACACUCAAAACAAUCUUUUCAUAACAACAAAAUAAUUUGCAGGAAGUACAGGUGAUUUAUUCAGCUGCAGAGAGCAUUGAAUCACAAAGGUAAAAAGCAUUUUAAAUGACUAAUGGUAUAGCUUUUGAUUAUUGAAUCACAAAUCUGAACUAUUGUGGCAAUAGAAAGCUCAUCAAGAAUUUGCAAGUGCAAACUGGUAGCUGAUUUACAAAUAAAAUACCAAGUCAUCAAGUAAAUUGUCAUAAAGGAAUCAUCUAAUCUAAUCUGACAAAGCAGUAGGAAAUAAUGACAACAGAAAAGCUGAGCUGCAAAGACCUCCUAAAUUUUCUCCCUCAUUAACUCUCACUGAGCUCAUUCUUGGGUUGCAAUCUCAACCCCACAUAAGUCCUGGCUACACUACACCAACUUAGAUGUAAAAAGAUGCAGACUACGCUCAUUAUGAAGCCAAUGCUUUGCAUCCAACCUUAGCAGUGUACUUAUUAACAUUACAAGUCUUUGGUGUUUUGAAAGCCAAAAGAAAG